AUAAAGGUAUCACAGAGGUGUGUUUUUGGUUUAGGACUAAAGUACGUUAGUUCAAUUCUAACCCUUUAUU
rnacentral:tRNA from 1 species